rnacentral:lncRNA from 1 species
GUGCAGAGUUGCGGCUGCGGCUAGCAUAAUGAGUAGAGAUUGCACUUGAAGUGAAGGAGCUAAAAAGGGGGGAAGACUACAGGGCUUCAUAAAAUCAAAUCAGUAAAAUUUGACAACAAAGAAUAAGAAUAGCUUGACAGAAUCAAUCUUUAUGAGAGCUGAAAAAUGCUAGUCACAUAUCACAGUAGUCAAUGCAUAAGUAUGAGACAAGUCGAUUCAAACAGCAAGCAAAGGACCAAGUAUAUAAAACGAAAAUGAAAUUACUGUUUGACUAGCAGAGAGCAAGAAACCAAUAAAGAGAGGAAUAAAACGGUAAGAAAUUCCAGAUCAAAAACUUUAAGAUCUUUCUGAAAUAAAAGCACAAAAAAAAUUUUGCAUUUAUCAAAGGAGGGCAGAGUUUAACAGGAGAUGAAAAAUAAUGCAUGGAAAAGUGUUUUGUAUUUUAAAUGCCAGGAAUACGAUCCUCAUUCAUUUCUCAGUACAUAAAAGAUAGAAAACAAAAUCAACUGCAGUUUUGUUGAAACUGUCAACGAACAAAGGAAGUUGAAAUAUAGCUUUUGAUCCAGCUGCAAGAAUUAUGCACUUGAACUCUGAACAGGUUGAGCCCAGAAAGCAGGAAAACCUUGUUCCUCUCAAUCUCAUGCAAACAUGAGCUGUCAAGGUUAAGCAUAAUAAUAAAUUGGCUUGAAAACUAACAUAUCCAAUGGUUAACUAAACCAUUAGGCAUCAUGAAUAAAAUUGACUGAAGCUCCUAUAAAUGAAUGAAAUGCAGCAGAAUAAACUUUUAAGACUACCUCACAAGAAUUAGUAAGAUAACCACCCAUUUGAGUGAACUCUUUCUUGUACACCAACAUGAGCAAAUCAAUUGCCCCCUAAAAGAAAUAGAACACGCCAUGGAUUAGUGAUACUUCAAAAGAAAAGGGACUGAAUAUUUAGCAUGCCCGAUUAAUCUUAAAUUGAAAAACAUUGUGAACCCGUUGCCUCAAAAUUUUUGUUUCACACACAACCCAAUAUUGCAAUUUGCCACGUGGACUGAAUGCAUAUACCAACCUCUGAUAUUUCCAGCGAUGGCACAUGUGGUAAAAAAUCAUUACCAACAAACAGACACAUGAAUACAAAAUCAUCUAUGAGUCGGUCCAGGUCAACUUUCACUGUUGCAUCCGGUAUUUGCAACUCAUGUGCUAAGUAGUCCCUGAGUACCCAAAUGUGGAGAAACUGAAAAAGAAGAACCAGUAGUUACAAAAUCAUUUGCUACAUUAUCUCUGAUCACUACUAUGUUCAAAGAUAGAAACACAACAAUCAGGUUACAGAUUUCAAUUUUGCACCAUUUCAUCUGCCAGUGAACCAACAGCAAAAAAAUAGAUGCUUUGUCAAGAAGAAAUGGAUGAAGACACAUGGAUAGAAGAAGGAAACAAAGUGCUGAAAGUUCCAAAUUAUCAGAAACAAAUUUGUUGGGUGGAAGAUGUUAAUGUAUGAUCAACUUGUACAUCUUACAUCAGAUUCACAAAGAUUCUAACACUCUUGAAGAGAGACCCGUACUAUGUGAUUGCAAAAAUAAAUAUCCAACAAGGAGAAGGAAAUAAUUAGUGAAUGUGUUCAAUCAAUAGGCAUCUAUUGGCAUAAUUAUCAGUAGUGAGAGUCAAGUGAAGCAUAGCCCCAGCCAAAGCACAAAAUGCAUAGAGAAAUCGUACACCCAACAUAGAGCUGACAAUGAUAAAAAUAUAGUAAAGAAUGGCAUGGCAUUACACACAUACACUACUACGUAAGUGACUUGUCAAAGGCAACAACUUAUUCUAACAACUUACUGUAACAAGUGCCAUCCUAAAGUUGAGAAGAAAUUGCAAAAACAGUUGAAAAAAAAAUCAUGCAUUAAUUUAACAACCAAGGUUGUAAGAUCGAAUCAAUGAUGCUUUUUAAAGAAAUAUCCUUGCAUCAACUGCAGAUCUUAUCUUUUUACUCCUAAAUUUCUUAGAAUGGCAAUUCAAUCAAAGAGCAUAUAAACCAUUAAGUGUGUAAAAGAAGGAACCUAACCUAGAACAAAAACAUUACAUGAUGCACAGUGCAACAAUUUGCACUAACUUUUCUCUAAUCCAACAAUUACCUUAGUUUCAUACAGGAACCGUGAAAUAAAGUGUAAUUGCAAUGAAGGAUUUCAGUAAUUCCAUUUAAAUGAUAAUCAACCUACAAGUGCCAGGUCUCUUACAACCAUAAUUGAUGAAAUUCUUCAUUGCCAGAGCCUCUUUUAAUUUGUAUAAGAUGGUACAAUUACUACCAUCAUGAAAAUAGUAUCAGUACCUUAAUAAAGUUUUUGCUGAUCACUUCACUCAAGAUAACGUUGCUAAACUCAUGCACCAAAUAUAAAACCAAAUUCUACAGAGGCCAUCAACCAAAAUCAUGUCAUGACAGUGAAUGGGUAAUAUGACUGUUACCUGAAAUCUUUGUCUUGAUAUAAAGGCUUCAAAAUCCCUAAGAUAUCCUUCCCCUUGCAUUGGCUUCACCAUUUCUUGUCUUUGGUUUUUGUCCUUAGGCAGAGCUUUGCGGACAUCCUACACCGUGCAUAAAAAUAAUGAACUCAUUAUAACUUCCAGACAACUAUAAACCACCAGCCAAGACUUAAUUAAAGAAGAGGGAUCAAAUACAAUCCCCUAAACUUAUACCUCUCUCAAAAUAGAAAAAUGGAUUUCAUGUGCAGCCAAUGCAAGCAUUAUCAGGUCUGCAUCCUAAAGAAAUUAGAAGAAAAGUAGGCACAUUUAGAUCAAGUCACCUCCAAUAAAUCCAUCACAAUGCAUAAAGGUUUCUGGAAGGUUUUCAUAGCAAAAUUUAGAGUGUUUACCAACUUUUGUCUAAUUUUUUUACAUCGAUAGGCAAAAGACAGGAAAGUACAUAAACCUAACAUCAAAAACAGAGAAGAAAAAAAAAUCUAAUGAGAAGAUUUUUACCAAUCCAUACAAACAAUGUCGUGUAUUUGGAUCAAAUCCUGGCAAAUUUCUUUGCAAACGGAUGUAAGACAUAAUCUUGUGUUCCCCUUCACCAGGCACACUAGCAUCAGACAGAAUAACCUAAAAAAGAUCAGCAUAGUCAUAUGGUAUUACAUUUGUGGAGGGGGAGGGAUGUGUAUGUGUGCGUGAGAGAGAGAGAGAGAGAGAGAGAGUCUGUGUGUUUUUAGACCGGUCCAAAAGGAACAACAAAUCAAAGUCCUAGAAAUUGAACCGAAAAAUGCCUUGAUUCCUCGCCAACCGGAGACGGAGUUCAUCUUCAAGUGUACAUAAUAUCGAAGUGCAGAUGACAAGAGUUGCAUGAAUUCAGUUCCAGGAGUAAUUAUAUUAGAAUCCAGCUUUUUAUUUCCAAAAUCCUCUCCUUCUGGCACAUGGACCCCUUUCAAUGUCUCUGUUUUAGAUGCCUGAUCAUAAUCAAAUUCCAGCCUAUUAGUUAUGUUGGAAACAGAAUAAAAGUACAGGGGCAAAACAAAAGACGAAAUGGUGGAAUGAUAACAUCUGCAGAAGCCCCGCUACCCAAAAAAAAAAAAAAAAUACAGACUUCAUCUGCCGCAUCUUUAGCAGCUCUGAACCGUCUUGCCCGCUGUUGAUUCAUCUUGGCACGCGGUGCCACACCAUCUGAGAGAUUAACGUUGGGAAUGUUUGAGUGAGACUAACAAUCCAAGUGGCGUCCUAAUGAAGCACUUAGAAAAGAGUUGUAAACUCAAACUCCACCUAGUAGUAAACGAAACAGUAAAUGCAGACAAAAGAAAGAAAUAUAAAGCUGGAGAUGUUGAUUUCAGCAUAAGUUAGCAAUAGACGGGAAUGGACGUACCAAUUGCCAUGUAAAAAAGUUUGCGCGGCCUAAUCAUGGAGAAUAAUCUGUCAAUGUACUUGAAUACCGCCUUAAAUACUUGGUCAUAAGUCUCCGGAGCAGGCUGUGAAGGAAGUUCACGAAUACCGCAUCAUUUAUUACGAAACAAAGCCGUUCAACAAAAACUAGAGAAGCAGUUCAUUUGUAAGAAAAAUAUCGAGCAGUAAUUUUGUCUGGUCUUUAUGAUACCAAUCCAUCGGGAUGAAAGCAGGGAUGGAUGAUUCCAUUCAUGUCCAGAUAGAGGUUAUCGAACUCGAGGCCGUUAGGGUUUGGAGCGGUGGUAUCAAUUGGAACGUCGACAACUGAGCGCGGGUAUCGUUCUGCUAGCCACCGAUAGAAUGCCGGUAUUCCCAUAGUCUACUUCACUGUUAUAUGCUCCCAACCUCACUUAGUCCCUCAGUCACUACUCCCUCCCGAACCGACUUGACUUGCCGUCUACUGACUGCUGAAAAAGGCGGAGGAGAGUAGGCAGCGUAACUGCUGGGGGAUUUUACUUCUUUUUUUUUCCUUUUAAAUUUCCGGGAUUUAGGGUUUUCAAGAUUCUCAGAAAGUUUCUGGGGCCGGUUUUCGUCCCUGCUCCUUCUCUGAUAGAUGACGAGCCCGGGGGCUGAACUUGUCCUGCGUUAACGGUACUACCAUCAAAACGUAGAUUAAUUUUAGGGUUAAAUGCAGAAAACCCCAUGAAUUUUUAUAGCCGUUGCACAAUACACCCCGAAAUAUGUUUAUAGGCACUUUACACCCAAGCUCCACUGAAAAGUAACGAAUCUUUACACACCGUUUAUUUUAUCACACAAAUGACAACUUUAUCCUCAGAUAAUAAUUGAACGGACAAAAGCACCCUUUGUUAGUGUUGCUCAUUAACUAGUUGGAAAGAGGGCAAUUCUGCUCCGCAAAUCGAGAUCUCUGCAUAAUUCAUACCAUACAUGCGCGCCAACUUUCCACAAUAACACUGAAAAAUCUUUUUGAAGUGGGCAGCACUAAGUUUAUCCCUCUCAUCAGGUCCAUACAACCAUCGUGCAAUUGGCAAAGCAGAAUUUUGUUUCUUCAAACUUCUUCCAUCCUCACUAUAGCUGCUUGAUGGAGAUUCACAAAAAGAAGGUCAAGAAUCAUAAAUCCUUUUGACUAACUCUGGCGCAACUUUUUGCCCAUUGAUAGGCUCAACUCCAUCACUUUUGUCAACUGUAUCAACUUCUUUCCCUUCAAAAACUCAGAGGCUGCUUCCUCAUCAGAUGAUCUUGCUCCCUUGUCACAUAUAUUAGAACUUCUGGUACGUAACUGUUUCCUAUACUUGGCUCUUAUUGUAGAAAGGAUGUUCUCCCUACACCACCCGUAAUGACAAAAUAAUUAUACGAAAUUCAUUCUUUAGGUGAACUGUCCACGAAAUAGGUUAACAAUGACAAUUCAACGAAUUUCAGUGAAGUUCUGGCGGAGAACCAUAAAUACUAACAUGAAUUACACUGACAUUCUUUUCAUCAAUGUGUUAUUAAGGACUUACUUCUACUGAACAUGGAAAAAUAUUUUCCUUCUACAUUUUAAAGGGAAACCUCAAACUAGUAAGUGGCAUAAGCAAAAGCUUCAGCAAGGAAUAGUAGACUGUCUACUUACUAAAAACAGACCUCAAAAGAAUUCAGGAUUCCAUUAAAUUCUGAUAAAUGCAAAUCAACUUAGGCAGCAGUAAAUUCAUUCUUUAUACCAAUAAUUUCAGCAGGAAGGAGAUGAGAAUAUUUGCGGACAUCGCAUUCCCUUCCGGCAUCAAAGCUCCUGAAAAUCUCCCAAAUAAAAUAAAUGCCACUAAAUUGUAAGAGCAAAAACAUCGUGAAACAAAGAACUCCAUAAUUUUGAACAGGCAGCAGUAAAUGAAAGAGAUAUUGCAAUCUGGUUACAAUAUUUCUCCUUGUUUCCUGCAAAUUCUCUACUAAACUAUCUGUAAUAAUAUCAACAGAGCCACGCAAGAAGGGUUCAUACAGAUAUAUCAAUAUCCUAGGUGCUUAAACUUAAAACCGAGUUGCGCUCAUGAAUCAAAUGCACCACGCUCUUUAAAUUCAUAUUGUCUGAUAUUCUAAAGCAUCAGAUUGGAAACUAACUAGAAAACUGAAGUGUCUCCUGUAGACAGCUACAAAUGUAAGACGUUGAAAUGAGUGGUAAAGACACAAUACAAAAACUCGCCUUUGUGAUGGUAAAAUGCUGAACACGCGGAUGUUUUCUGGAAGAUAUGAGUUGACAUAAUUAGCAGGAGCAAUUCCGCUGGGGUCAUCCUUCUAAGCCUUUUCAGGGAUUUCCAUUUUAAAAGAUAUCAUCGUAGCCAGCGAAUGAACCUGAAAUGUAUAUUAUCUUGAGAGACCAACAACCAGCCAGGAACAGGUCAUGUAAUGCAAAAUAUCAGCAUAAAUUGGAGUUUGAGAAACAUACUCCUUUAUCAGUUCUGCUACUUCUUGCCCAAGCAAUUUUCUGCAAGUCUCCAAAGUUACUAUCACGAAUUCCGCCAGCUUUAUGAAUUGCCUUCUCCAGUUCACCUUCAAUAGCUGCAUUACGGAAUUGUAAUGCUUUAGCCCAAUUCCAUCCAUGCUAGCUAUGCUGAUGAGAUAUGUAAUAUGGACGAGUCAACAAUACGCUAUACCAUUAGAAUGGUAGAGGUUGUCCCCAAAAGUUGUUUUCCCACCUUUUUGUGAAGGUCAAGAUAAUCAAAAGUCUCUUAAGGUUCUUAAACUGCAGCGAAUGCAAUUAUAAAAGUUUCACAGCAAGCAAAAGCCUGCACUCCUCCAUAUAAAACAAAAUCCAACCAAAUGAUCGGGAAAUAUGUCGAUUUGAAAAAAAAUAAUAAGAACAAAAUGACCAUUUUUGCCAAUAAACUCACCAAAAAUUUUUGUUUUUAAGCUCAAAGUCUAAUUGGCUCAACCAAAGACAUUAAAGAAGCAGAAUUGGUCAAGCAAGACUAACGAUCAAGAAAACAAAUGAAGCACCCAGCCACGAAUGACGAUGCCAUAAAAACUCAAUCCAAAAGGGAAAUGGGAAAAAAAAAAAAAAGAAACUUACUGGGUAAUGCAUGUUCAUCCCUUUGCAUUUGCAGACCUGCCCACCAACAAUCACUAUUUAAUGAGCAACACUAACAAAUCACACCAAAUUUGAGCGGGCAAUUCUGUCACUAUUUAUCACACCAACAAUCACUAAUUAUAUUCGUUGGAAAGAGGGCAAUUCUGUCAGCAAAUUCAACGGAUAGAAAGUGCAAGCCACGCGCUUUGUUUCACCGUGAAAUAUGUGAACGGUCGUUUUCUUAGGGUGUAAAGUACCUAUAAACAUAUUUCGGGGUGUAUUGUGCAACGGCUAUGAAAGCUCACGGGGGUUUUCUGCAUUUAACCCUUAAUUUUAUGGUGUAUUUUUCUAUUGUUAGAUGCGAGCUUUUUCAGAGCUUGAUUGUCCGGUGCAUACACUUCCCACCGAAAAAAUUAAAUUGAGAUGAGUAAUGAUAAUGAUACAUACAUUAAUAAUAAUAAUAAUAUAUAUAUUAUUAGUAUAUAAAAAGUUAAUCGAUAUAUUAUAUGUUGUUCGAUCUGUUAAUUGAGAUUUCAGAAGAAGUCGGCGGCCAAAAUUACCAUUAUCUGCACCUUAGUGUCACGUACCUUUCAACCACAAGAUUCUGAAAGCCUCGAUUUGUAAAUCUUACAAGUGGAAUAACUGUUUAUCAUAAAAUUACUGCUAUUACCACUACUUUCAUCACAUUAUAUAUUAUUCCACGGCUAAUUUCUCUGCAUUGAAUGAAAUUUACACACUACUACUACUACAUUUCAUCUCAUUAUAUUACUCUACUGCUAAUUUCUUUACAUUGAAUAAAAUUUACAUAUGGUAUAAAUGAUGGUUAUGAAUUGGCAUAUUACAUUUGGAAGAAAAGCAAUUUUAUCGAAUAGUAAGCAGGUCAAAACUGCUUUAAUACCGGGUAUUAAUAGGCAAUAUGAUUCCAAAAAGGUAUUGGGCACCGCAUGUGUGUCACAUAGCAUGUCACGUGAUGAAUCAUUCUAUCAUCACAAUGAGUGACAUUAUUAGGUGAUUUUUGAUUGAUAGUAACUCGUUGUCGCGUUACCUUUGUUUGGAUCUCCUGUUUUUGGAGUAUUUUUCAAAUACAAUAAAAGUUACAACAAAGUACUCUAAAAGAUAAUCUAAAAAUUAGUUUAAAUUUUUUUAAAAUUUUACCAAAUAUCUCAUAAUAAAGUGUCAAUAAAAAAUAUUUUAAAAUAUUUUCUAAAAAUAUUUCAAAAUAUACUCUAAAAUUUCAAAAACACUCCCAAAAACAGCUAAUCCAAACGGAAGUAGUUAGUAUUUUAUCUUGGAUUUCCCAAAUUUAAAGGCCUCAAUAGUGUCUCCUAUAAAAAAUGUACAAGUUUCUUGCGAAGUCUGCCAGACGUGGAUGGUGCUUCGAUGGAUUCGAUUCUUACAGGAUGCACGCAUCCUUGUUGUUAGGGGUGGAUUAUCCGUUGAGGACAGCUGGAGUGUAUAGACUUUGAGCCGCCGGGGAAAUAAAAAACUCAUCGGCUAACUCGCGAAGGACUAUGGCCCUUUGGCAACUAUAGCGGGUACAUUUCAAACUGAGGGAUUGGGAAGGGAAGCCUCGUCCCCGUUGCCCGAUUGGCCUAUUCCUUCUGCCCACUCUCAAGACUCCACGCCUGUGUGUUGGGUCUUAUCAUUUAAAGUUAAAACUCUGCCGCCUUACCUUCAGCUUUGUUCGCUCUUUUUAGAUUUCACAUAUAUUUGUGGGGUGUUUGAAUAACAAUUAUUUGGCCAAAAAUUAUUUGUUUAUAUCACAGAUAUAAUUUUUAACACAUUUUUUUUUAUCUCAUAUACAUCACAUCAUUUAGGGUGUGGUUGCAAUAGGAAAAUUUAAAAUUUUUAUAAAUGCCUCGAUAAAAUUUUAAAUCUAAAAAAAAAAACUUGGAAAAUAUAUCUAGGGUGAAAGUUUUUAAAAUACAACAUUACAAUAAAAUUUUUAAAAAUACUUCUAAAAACACAUAAUCCAUACAAAUCCUAUGUUAUUUAUCUUUAUUAGUUUUGAAACUUCAAAAAAUCUCACGUUAUUGGGGCAGGGGCUUAGGAGAGAAAUGAAUAAUGGAAUUGUCCCAUAAAAAAUCUAAGCCUAAACUUGAUCAUCAAAACACUAAAGAGACUUGGCUAUCGCUGUGUUGCAAUCUCAAUAUCAAAAAGAUGCCUACAAAUCCUUUGAUACCAAUGCAUUGAUUUAUAUACAUUUUUUCUGGAAAAACUUCAAAACAUUUUUUUUUUUUAACUAUCUUCUUUCUCACUAACGCGUCUUCAACAAUGAUAUUACAAUAAAAUUUUUCUCAACGUUAUAGUAUUUUUAGGAAAAUAACCUUAUAGUACUCUUUGGAACGUGAUAUAGGCGACCAGCCCAAAGGUCGGUGGUUUCAUACGACCAAUUCACCUAGUUAAUUUUCUGCAUAAAAUAAAAUAGGGAUUUGAGCGUACCAUUACCAUCCCAAUUCCCACACGUGAAGUUGUGGUCCAAGUUCCAUUUCCAUAGCCUAUAGUUAACUAGCAUUCAAGAUUCAACUGCGGGAGCCUCCUUGGGGUUGGGGCACCAUGCAUGACACAGAAGCAUCGAGGACAUCGCCAUCCAAUCAUCCAUUCAUCCAUCUUGUUGGCUGUUGCUACUCUACUGCAGUUGAGUAUAUAGCAUAUAGUGCAUCUUUAUAUGUGUAGGCUAAUUACGUCUUUCUCAUGCUUCCCAAGACCACGACAUUCCUUGCAUUCGAUGCAACACAAAAUCUUUACUAAAAUUAAUAGACCAAUCCACAUAUGGACCUGAGCUGAAAAAACUACUAAUCUAUGAGGUUAUUUUUUCUUUGUUUCCCCUUCAACUCUUACUUAAGCAUCAACAUAAAAAUUCCAGUUGGUCUUCGCUUCUUCCAGUUGCAGUUUUUGUUUUCCAGAUCCACAAGAAACAAUCGAUGAGCAUCCAUCGUCCGCAACCCAGACAAGGACAAUUCCAGUUGGGGUAAGCUCCACUUUUUCCAUUUUUUCUUUUUUUUCCCCUCCCCCCGGGCGGGUAGUCCUACGGCCUCCACCCCUGUAAUCACUGCGUUUCGUUCCUAAUUCGGUCGCUUGGUCAUUAUAUCCUUCGGACUGGCCAAUACAAUACAGCUUUCCUCUUUCAGAAGCUUCUUUUAUAUUCCUCACAGUACAUUCCAGUUCCGUUCAAACCAAAGUCUAGGCUGUAGUGCUGGGAUCGCUACUGAUUCUUGGUUUGAGUAGAGAUGAGACGACGACCAGCCAAGCUUUUGAUCGAUCUUACCGGUUAAAAAGGUAACUGGGAAUGCUGCACUUGCACUUGCAUGCACAGAGAUUCGUGUUUCUUGCUGAAAGCAUUAACCUGCUGCUUGAGCAUGAUUCUGAAUCUGAUGCGAGUUGACUGCACACCCAGGAGGACAUUGAGUGGAUGUCUUUUAUAGGUGCAGUCGUUACCGUCUCGCAAACUACACGGGAAAAAUGUAGAGCUUUAUUGACUCUCUAAAUAAUAUUCAAUUGUCGUAGGAAACUUUGGCUCAUUCUUCAGCAUUUUCUGAUCACAAUUCGCAGGUGAAAUAGCUAGUUCUUGACAUGGACGAAGCGCCGGAGGAAUUGAGAAUAAGGGGAACAUCGCUCAUAACUCAACACAAGUCGUCGCCACUGUCGUUCCACCGUCACGUGAGUUUUAUUACCUUCACACGAGUCCAUACAGCAGUAUCUUAUCUUCCAAUUCCUUCCCACGGACUUGCGUUCUUAAUUAACUAUCAUCCUCCUAUGAAAUUGUGUCAGACUCAGACUGGCAGCCCAGAGGAUUUGUAUUCGACCAGAGCUCAAAAGCACUUUAAGACCACAAAAAGAGCUCUGGCCUCUCAAAUUGAAGAACCAAUGGAUACUCCUGAGAGCCCUAUCAGUGCAAUGGAGUUCCUGUGCAGACCAUGGAGUCCUUCUGCCUCCAACUUCCUGCAGUUAUUUCCUUCAAGUGUGAGUUUGCUACUUCCCAAAAACAUGCGUAGCACAAACGAUGCGCACUUAACAAGUUCGUCCUGUUAAAUUGUUCACUGACCCAAUGAAGAAACAAUCUAACAACGAAGACAUAAGAAACUGGGAGUGUUUGGGACCAUCUAAGAUUGUGAUCCAUCCGUGACCGCAACCAUGAAGUGGUGGCCCCAUGUCCAAACUUUGACAUUAAUCCACUUCAGUCUCUCUUUUGUCCUUCUGCUAGUAGUUUCAUGCUUUCUCGAACUAGGUGAAUAUGCAUUGAACUUGUAAUGAGCACAUACCGAAUUUGAUCCAAAGUUCACCGAGUUCUGAGCUAUAAUCGGUACACACAAAAUGUGGCAUUGAAUUUGUAGAAUCUCUCGUUUGCCCAGUAUGACAGGGCCAGAGCAGAAGAUCAUGAAAAUCAACCAGAAGAAGCAUUGAAGCACACCCCAGAAAGGAACCAAGUGCUUAUAAUCAACGAGAAAUUCAGUAGAGUAAUGAUCAAUCUCUCCCAUCAAUGUUCAGGAAUUCAUUCGUUUAUUAGUAGUAAUAACCAGCGAUUUCACAGUCAUCCCUAGCCUUGGAGGUGCAAGAAAUUUGCCAGGUGAUAUUCAACUGAAACAGACCUGUGUUACAACUCUUUGAAUGCCAACUUCUCUAGAAAAGAGAUUCAAGUUAGUAAACGUUUUUUCUUCCCAAAUUUGUGCUCCGGCCUUGUUCCCCACAGCUAGUCCAGUGCUCUUAUGCUCAUAGGAUAGGUUAAAAAUCAUCUAGUUGUACUCUACAUUCCUCAUCUUGAUAUUAUGUACAUUUUGGUUAUGUAGAUGAACUUGAAUCACGUGAAAGGAUGGCCAAAAGGCAAAUCGCUCUCUGGCUUCUUCAGAUCUUGUAAAGAGAAGAAGAAAGAUGAAAUUCGAUGCCACACGGCCAAACUACAUGCUGCACUUUCACUUACAGAGCUUGCUGCAGCAAUUGCACGCUUUGCAACCAGUACCAGCACAGAAGCACAAAACAUCAACCGAAAAGGCAAUGGUGAAACAAGGGCAAUAUACGAGGAAAUGGGAGGUGCUGUUGCUACUGCAGCAGCAUUGAUGACUACUGUAUGUGCUGAGGCAGCAGAAUCUUUAGGUGCAGAUAGAGCUCAACUUGCAUCUGCAGUCAAUUCUGGCCUGGCCAUCGGUAAUCCUAUUGACAUGAUGGCAGUAACAGCAACAACAUCAACAUGUAAUGUUAAUAAAUUUUCUUCUGUCCAACUGCAUUUCCGUUCUUGUACAUUUCUUCCUCUUGCUAUGACCCUCUUAAGUAAAUGACUCAUCGACUCUUAGGAACUUUAACUUGAUAGAUGAUGUGGAAUAGCUCCUAAUUAUCAGGUUUAAGAGGUGCUGCAAUUCUGAAAUCAAGAACUAUGGCAGACUCCUUGAGGAUCCAAGGGCUGCUUAGAGCUUGCACUGAGAUAUGUAUAAUCACCCCAUCAGGUAAAUGAGAAGUGUAUGUUUUAUAAAAGGACGUGCACAUGGAAAUGUUUGAUGCAAGAACAUACCCAACAUAAAAGGACUUCUGCUUGUGAAACUGAUGUUUUAUAAAAUGCAGGUCGCAGAGAACACAAAUGGGUCACCAUACAUUCAAAGCCCAAACAAAUCACACUGUCCUUCAAGAAGAAGUAUUUUGGAGGAACCCUAUCAAUUUCGAAAGAGUGUAUGGCCUUAUUUAUUCUAUUUCUGAUUUUGUCAGCAAGGAAAAUAACCCCUUUCACCCAGUCGUUGACUUGUGUCUCCUCUUUUUUUUUUUCCCCCUGUAAUCCCUCUUUCCAAACCUUGGGGGGCUUAUGGCUAGUAGGUCACUAGGUCUCUGAUAUAUUUCUUGUCAUCAUUUUCUGGUUAUGAGGGAUGGAAGGCAGUUCGCAAGAGAUGGAUAUUUUCUCGAAACAAAAGAAUAGGGUCAAUGGAAGCCUAACAUAAAACCUAAUACCUUUUCCUUUUCCAGACAAGCUUAUCUGUAUCGAGGAAGCAAUGGAAGGCGAGGAAUACUUCUUCCUAAGUUUGAGGACAAACAAUGGCAUCAUCAAGCUACUAUUCAAAGAUCAGACGCAAUUGAACAUCUGGAUAUCAGCCAUUUCCAGUCUCCUAAAGAUGGCACAACCCCAGCCAUUUCUCAGCUAAGAAGUCACCAGCAUCGUACCAUCCAUGAUUCAGUUCCAAGGGAAACAAAACACAAAUCAAUUAGCCUAUAGCUUGAUGGCUGUGAUACUUUCUUUUCUGUAUGUCCCAUUUAAACAGCUUAUCCAUAUCAGGGAAACAAUGGAAGGUGAGGGAUACUUCUUUCUCAGUUUGUGGACAAAACAAUGGCAUCAUCAAGCUACUACUUGAAGAUCAAAAGCAAUAGAACAUCUGGACAUCAACCAUUUCCCAGCCCCUAAAGAUUACAACCAGCCAUUUGUCAGCUAAUUAGUCACAACCAUUUUACCAUCCACCAUCCAGUUACAAGAGAAACAUUACAAAAAUCAAAUACCCUAUAUCAUGACUCUUAAUACUUUCUUUCUGUUAUGUCCUAUUUAAUUGAAUACAAUUCUACAGAAAUUCCAUGAAGCGGAAAAUAGAAAUGAAUAAGCAAGACGUAUUUAUCAAAAUUGAAAAACUCAAAAAGACUAUUCCCCGCUUUAAUGGAACAGUGACAUGGUCCACAAGGACAGUUGUUGUGAACAGUCAAUUUAUGCAUUCAUCACCUUUCUUCUAAACACUUUUUUACACCUACAGAAAUAGCAACACUGACCAUACAGAGACCACAAUGCACAACUAUAGGAAGAGGAGGAAGAAUUUUUGCCAAGCACAACUAAAUACACAGCUAAAACAUUUGAAUUCCUUAAAUAUUUUUGCAUGACAUCCUCAGUGGAUGCAGACCGAGUCUGGCCACCUGGUAUUUUUAAUUCAUAGUUGAAAGAUCUGAAAAUCAAUCUUAGUUUUGGAAGACAUCAUCAGUAAAGAUACCCUCAGAGGAGCCACUUGGUAUUCGAAGUUCAUUUCUCCUCGAACUCAACAUCAAUUACAUCGUGUUCAGACUUUGAAGAGGAACUCGAACCUUGGCUCCCUCUUGAAAAGAAGUCACCUUGAGGCUGCCAUACUAUAUUUCCACAACUUGCACAACGAACCGUCUGGUUUUUAUAUCCAGCAAACUGUCUCCUACAUGCAGGGCAUGCUCCCUGCUCAUACAAACACGAUAAGUACAGACGCAUUUUUAGGUAAUAUUCUUCUAAGAAGUCACAUUUCAGUAAAUGGUAAUUCUAUGCAAAUCAGUAAAUUAUUCCUGGCACAGAAAUUCUGCCACAAGGAACAAAACUAUUCUGUUAAAGCCCUACAUCCCUGAGGGAAAGAGUACAUCCAAUGUGCAUUCACAUGUAAACUACUUAUGGAAGGAAAAGCUUCACUCUCAUCCCUGAUGUACAAUUGCAAAGAGCCACCAAAGAAUUCCAUUUACCUUGAUGACAAGAUUGUUGGCGACAGCCCCUAUUAAAAGAGGACCAGCAAAUGGCAGCACCCACGUUGCAAAUAUCAGGAAACGAAACAGCCAUCCAGAAAGAGCAAACCACAGGAAGAAAAUUGUCUACACACAGAAAAUUAUAUUAGCAUUUUAGCAUGACAUGCUAACAUUUGAGCGUGUUAUUACUAUAGAAAUAUCAGAAGGGUAUGGGCCACAUGACCUGGGACAGAGACAGAUAAAAUAGAUUCAAGCCACAAACAGAAAUAUCAAUUAUCUAUGCAACUAUAACAUUCUUCUUUGUAUGCAGGUCUGCUUCGAUUUCUUUCCUUUAUAUUCAUCCAGUUAGCUAUAUAAAUUUUUAUUGUCGAUGUCUAGCCAGAAGAUUUAUGAUUUAGCAUAUAUGAUGUUACAAAAACUUUUUUGCACAAAAAUAUCAGUUACAAAAGUGAAAUGAAGUAUCUUUAUGAUUGUGGGCAUUCAUAUGCAGAACAUGAAUGAUCUGCAGAUAUUGUCCCAGGAUAGAAGAUAAGAAUUUAAAUGAUAAAACAACAUGUGCAUGAUUUAUAAAAAAAUCUAGACAUUUUAAACCCUUGGGAAAGUUUGACAAAACAUUUAUGUUGUCAUCCGCCUGGCUUCCAGAAUCCAGAAAAUAUUUCAGACAAGAUAAAGGUGCCAAUUGACAAGAAAGCAAGUACAUAGCAAAAUAUUGAUGUGAAAACAUUAGAAAAGUGUUAAAAAUUAAAAGAAUUGGGGAAGAUGUUCAUAAUCAAGUUACUAGCACUAGGUGCAUAUCAAAUUUAAAAUUUCUGAACUGGUUAAAUGGCUUCUGAUGAAGCAAUAGAACAUGUCGGCCUAUCAACCCAGAAUAUAUACUUGCAAUGCCAUAUGGAGUAUUUAAUCCUGUGCCUUGCUUUCUAAGAUUCUUCCAGUAUCAGCAUCAUCCACAGAAAAUCUGGUGCCACAGGGAAAAGUCAUAGUGCUGAAGCAUAAAGCUAUUAAGGGUAAUCUAACUACAUUUGAGGCAGUCCCUAAUCUAAGGAUCACAUCCUCCGUCCCACAUUGAAAAAGAGAAACACGCACACACAAAAUAAUUGUAGCUAUUGGUUUCAUCAGUAAGCUGUUCGCUGAUGAUUUUUUACCUGAAUUCGGGGUUAAUUUUUCUUUUCACUUUAGCCUUGGGCAAUUUUGGGUUAUAUUUGUUGCGCUUGCAGAAGGAAAAGAUCUUAGCAGCCAAAGGAUGCGAUGUGUGAACAAAUAGUAGAUCAAGACCCAAACUGUUUCUUCGUUUUUCUUCAUCCUAGAUCAGAAAAAUAUUAUUCAGCAUUUUUAGAGAACAUACAGGUAAGUGAGAAUGCUCAAACAUAUUGAUAUGCAGAAUAACACAGAAAAAAUUACAUCACAUAACAAUGCAAUCACCGCUUUGUAUGGGUGAAAAUGUUUUAAUCAACAAUAAUGCUGCCUUUCUGUCAACGCAACUUCGUACUGGUUACAACACUACUUGUGUACAGUCUAUACAGAUCAGAACUUACUGUCAAAGUAUGUUCAGCUUUUUCAAUCUCUGCGAGAAGGCGUAACUCGUUGAUGAAUGGUAAUUUACACACCGCCUGCCAAAUCAUGAGGACAACUAAGUAAAAUCAAGCUGCCCUACAAAAUUGUUCAAUUAGAGAAGGUCUGUGUACAGCUGUUCAUAAGGUUUAUUCAGGCGCAUUUUACACAUUCAACUGCACAGGUCUCAGUCCCAUAAAAAUCAGCUAUUCUGAAACUGUAAAUUCAAUUUUAGGGUCUCAUGCAAUGCUAUCUUCUCUUUCUUUCCCUUUACUUUGCUCCCACUUAGAGGUGAGAUGAAGGCAAAAUGACAUUCAGGAUUAACAUCACCUUUUAGAUCCUAGAUCAGAAAAUGCAGAUGCUGUGUUGUGUACGUGUCUGUGCAUUUUUAAAUGCUCAGAAGUAUUCACAAUCAAGUCAACUGACAAAUCCUAAUGGAUGGGCUAGUAAGAAGCAAACUAGAAUCCAAAGGUUAAAUAAUGAUAACUCAAACACAGUUUUGACUAUUAUAAGCAGAUAACAACUCGCACCACAAUUUACAGGUAUCAAAUUAAGCGCACGACCAGAAUACAUCAAGUACAGUUCUAUACAUGACAAUGAAAUAUGCUCCUUAUUAACCCGAACAUGAACCUAAGGAUAGCAUACAAUUCAUAGUAUAGCAACAUAUCAGCAAAUAUUUUAUGCAAAGGCACAGAAAGAUGAAAGACCUACAUUAAGCCAUUGAUCAAUUCCAAAAUAACACCUGUUCAGCAUGAAAGUAAAAUAGCUAAGAAAUUUUCAUAAUUCAGAAGUAAAGCAAUUUACUAAACCAUACCUGCCAAGCAUGUCUUUUUCCGUUAAUGUCAAGUUCAAAAUCUGCGAGACAUAACCUCCAAUCAGUUUAGCACAAGGAACAGUAAUCAUGCGAAAAAGAUUUAUGGUACAAUCACCGUACCUCUUGGGUAGAAGUCCAAAAUAGGAGAUGAUGGAUCUGUCAUUAACUUUCUGUAAAAGAAUGGGAGUGCCUGCGCACUAAAUGUUCAAGAAGUCAAAUGCUAAAUCUGAAAGGUUAUUAGUCCAUGUAUAGACGAGACAAUAAGUUAGGUUCUAAACCUUGCAGCAGGGAGAACUGCCAUUAACUGAUCAAAAGGCUUGAACGGUUUACCAAGAUUGAACUUUAUUUCGAGCUGGUGAAGACCAUGGAAAUCUGAUGCAAAUGGAGCAUAGUGAUAAGGAUAAAACCUGCAAAUUGGAACUAAAUUAUGUUUCUAAGUUACACAAAAUUUUCAGAAAAAUACACCUUCUAAAAUACAAUUCAGCGCAACAAAGUUUGUCAGAACAAUGUAAGAACAUCAUAUAUUGAAAAUAAAGAUCAUAAACUAUGCCUCAAAUUCAGUUUCUGCAAUCAGGGUUCUCUGGAUCCUAUUUUGUAUGAAUUGCUUUAAUAUUAUUAUGUUCUUUAAUGACUCAGCUACUAGUCAAAUUCAGUACAAACCAUUGCCAAGAGCAAACUCCUUGGUAGUAAUAAUGCAUGACCCAAGAAAUUCCUUCGACAUAUUUGAAGACCUACAUCAAAUAGAGCUCAAUAAGAAACAUUUGAAAGAGCAAAGAAAUAAAAUAGAAAGAUUAACUAGAGGUCCAAAACUAACUAGGAUUACUGUGACACGAGCUUGAGGUAAAUAAAGAUAAAUCUAUAGUGAAAAUAUAAAUCAAGAGAGAGACAAUAUCCCUCACCAUGUUAUAGCUGAUUGCAAAGAGAAAAAGAAAUAGAGGUGUAGAAAACAAGAAGAAUUCACAUACAAAGUCAAUUAGAAAAAGAAAACGCAUGCAAGUGAGAGUCAUCAAGAGAACCUAAGAAAUAGAAUCAACAACAAAUAGCAUAAAACGUGCAAUUAAGGGGCAGAGCAAAGUUUGAAAGCCAUAGACCUAAUGGUAUUGGCACGGCAGCAAUAUCUCCUUACCGCAUGCCUUUGUAUUUUUCCAUACUCUUCAUCAUUUUGAACCUCAAAUUUUUCAAUAUAAUAUCUUUCCUUCCAUCCCUCUUCUCCUAAUUUGACCUGCAAAACAAAUAUCCAUUAGGAGUUUUGCAGAGAAAAACAGUUGAGACUUGGUCUACAUAAUUACAGCCAAAUAUAAGAUGGGAAGAAAGAAACACAUGGAAUAGAGGAGCAACCUUGUCAACUGCAAAUCUGGUUUCGGUACAAAAAUGGUCUGUUGUACUCUGAACUUCCAUGGCUCUAGACUGAUGAAGAAACCAGCAUAAGAGGGUACAAUUACGAUCAAACAACGCAAAGACUAGUAAAUUUCAGUCGAAACUUCAAACUGAAUUGUGAUACUCACUUUAACUGAACAACGUUUCAAGUUUAUAUCCCAUGCUUUUUGUGCCUGGCAAAAGAAAAUUACAACAUGAUUAUAUGUAGAUCACACAAUAGACAAUACAAAGCAAGUAGAAUAUUCAUGUGCAAGCCCAUGAAACAGCAAAUAGAUAUGAUUUUCACCUUUAACCAACAUUAAAAUGAAUUCAAGUCACAAUAGAGAAAAAUAAAAGUCACCUGAUACUAUCCAGCAUGAAAUAUUAACCAACCAAAAGGAACAUGUUCUAAAACUUAAGAAGCCUGAUAAAACUGAGUAACCAAUGUUACCUGUGCACGUUUCCUGAAUAUGGCAUUCUCAUGUGCUCCAACUGCUUUUACAAAAUGCUCCACCCGCUCCAAAUCAACCUAUGCAAUCCAAUAUACAGGAUACUGAAGCAAAGAGCAAAGGUCUUGAAAAACGAUGAUAGCAAAAUAUAUUGGGAGUGCAGAGUUGCAGCUGCGGCUAGCAUAAUGAGUAGAGAUUGCACUUGAAGUGAAGGAGCUAAAAAGGGGGGAAGACUAGAGGGCUUCAUAAAAUCAAAUCAGUAAAAUUUGACAACAAAGAAUAAGAAUAGCUUGACAGAAUCAAUCUUUAUGAGAGCUGAAAAAUGCUAGUCACGUAUCACAGUAGUCAAUGCAUAGGUAUGAGACAAGUCAAUUCAAACAGCAAGCAAAGGACCAAGUAUAUAAAACGAAAAUGAAAUUACUGUUUGACUAGCAGAGAGCAAGAAACCAAUAAAGAGAGGAAUAAAACGGUAAGAAAUUCCAGAUCAAAAACUUUAAGAUCUUUCUGAAAUAAAAGCACAAAAAAAAAUUUUGCAUUUAUCAAAGGAGGGCAGAGUUUAACAGGAGAUGAAAAAUAAUGCAUGGAAAAGUGUUUUGUAUUUUAAAUGCCAGGAAUACGAUCCUCAUUCAUUUCUCAGUACAUAAAAGAUAGAAAACA